rnacentral:rRNA from 1 species
UACGGAGGAUGCGAGCGUUAUCCGGAUUUAUUGGGUUUAAAGGGUGCGUAGGCGGAUCGUUAAGUCAGUGGUCAAAUUGAGGGGCUCAACCCCUUCCCGCCAUUGAAACUGGCGAUCUUGAGUGGAAGAGAAGUAUGCGGAAUGCGUGGUGUAGCGGUGAAAUACAUAGAUAUCACGCAGAACCCCGAUUGCGAAGGCAGCAUGCCGGCUUCCGACUGACGCUGAAGCACGAAAGCGUGGGGAUCGAACAGG